GGGAUGCGACGAUGGCGUGCGGUGCGAACGCGGAGGAAAUCCGGUGCGAAUCCGGUGCGGUCCCGCCACUGUCACCAGGUGCCGAACCUGGGAGCCAGACACUCCGCUCGCACACGGGUACGCG
rnacentral:ncRNA from 2 species